rnacentral:rRNA from 1 species
AUUGAACGCUGGCGGCAGGCCUAACACAUGCAAGUCGAACGAGUGGCGGACGGGUGAGUAAUGUCUGGGAAACUGCCCGAUGGAGGGGGAUAACUAAUGGAAACGGUAGCUAAUACCGAAUACCAUCGGAGGGGCCCAGAUGGGAUUAGCUGGGGGGUGGGGGAACGGCUCACCUAGGCGACGAUCCCUAGCUGGUCUGAGAGGAUGACCAGCCACACUUGAACUGAGACACGGUCCAGACUCCUACGGAAGGCAGCAGUGGGGAAUAUGGCACAAUGGGCGCAAGCCUGAUGCAGCCAUGCCGCGUGUAUGAAGAAGGCCUUCGGGUUUUAAAGUACUUUCAGCGAGGAGGCGUUACUCGCAGAAGAAGCACCGGCUAACUCCGUGCCAGCAGCCGCGGUAAUUC